rnacentral:rRNA from 1 species
AGUGAACGCUGGCGGUAGGCCUAACACAUGCAAGUCGAACGGCAGCACAGUAAGAGCUUGCUCUUACGGGUGGCGAGUGGCGGACGGGUGAGGAAUACAUCGGAAUCUACUUUUUCGUGGGGGAUAACGUAGGGAAACUUACGCUAAUACCGCAUACGACCUACGGGUGAAAGCAGGGGAUCUUCGGACCUUGCGCGAUUGAAUGAGCCGAUGUCGGAUUAGCUAGUUGGCGGGGUAAAGGCCCACCAAGGCGACGAUCCGUAGCUGGUCUGAGAGGAUGAUCAGCCACACUGGAACUGAGACAAGGUCCAGACUCCUAAGGGAGGCAGCAGUGGGGAAUAUUGGACAAUGGGCGCAAGCCUGAUCCAGCCAUACCGCGUGGGUGAAGAAGGCCUUCGGGUUGUAAAGCCCUUUUGUUGGGAAAGAAAGGCAGCAGGUUAAUACCCCGCUGUUCUGACGGUACCCAAAGAAUAAGCACCGGCUAACUUCGUG